AACGCGAAGAACCUUACCCGGGUUUGACAUGCAGCUGCGCGGCCUAUGAAAGUAGGCCUCCUUCGAGGGUGCUGCACAGGUGCUGCAUGGCUGUCGUCAGUUCGUGCCGUGAGGUGUUUGGUUAAGUCCAGCAACGAACGCAACCCCUGUGUCCAGUUGCCAGCGCGUAACGGCGGGAACUCUGGACAGACUGCCCGUUCACACGGGAGGAAGGUGGGGACGACGUCAAGUCAGUAUGGCCCUUACAUCCGGGGCUGCACACGUGCUACAAUGGCCGGCACAAAGGGAAGCCAAGCCGCGAGGCCGAGCCAAUCCCCAAAACCGGCCCCAGUUCAGAUCGGGGUCUGCAACCCGACCCCGUGAAGUCGGAUUGCUAGUAACGGCGCAUCAGCUACGGCGCCGUGAAUACGUUCCCGGGUCUUGUACACACCG
rnacentral:rRNA from 1 species